rnacentral:rRNA from 1 species
UAAGCCAUGCAUGUGUCAGUAUAAGUAUUAUAUAGCGAAACUGCGAAUGGCUCAUUACAUCAGUCAUAAUUUACUUGAUAUUUGAAAGUUACAUGGAUAACCGUGGCAAUUCUACAGCUAAUACAUGCGUUCAUACCCAACUUCACGGAAGGGUAGUAUUUAUUAGAUAUUAAACCAAUCCUUCGGGUUGUGAUGAUUCAUAAUAACUGAUCGAAGCGAGGAUUUCCUUGCUAAAUCAUUCAAGUUUCUGCCCUAUCAGCUUUAGAUGGUAGUGUAUUGGACUACCAUGGCUAUCACGGGUAACGGAGAAUUAGGUUCGAUUCCGGAGAGGGCGCCUGAGAAAUGGCGACCACAUCUAAGAUGGCAGCAGGCGCGAAAAUUGCCCAAUCCCGAUUCGGGGAGGCAGUGACAAGAAAUAACAACCCAGGGGAUUUCCCCAGGGAUUGUAAUGAGAAAAAUCUAAAAAACUUAUCGAGUAUCAACUGGAGGGCAAGCUAUGGUGCCAGCAGCCGCGGUAAUUCCAUCUCCAGUAGCGUAUAUUAAAGUUGCUGCAGUUAAAAAGCUCGUAGUUGAAAUUCUGCCCGGUCGAGCGAUCUCCACAUGGUCUUCGCCUCACCGGGCAUCAGUCUGCAAUCAUUUUCACGGCAUUCACUUGUCGGGA